CAUAUACUCCCUCCGUUCCUAAAUAUAAGUCUUUGUAGCGAUUGCACUAUGGACUACAUACUAUACAUCCGUAUGUGGUUCAUAAUAAAAUCUUUAAAAAGACUUAUAUUUAGGAACGGAGGGAGUAUGUC
rnacentral:pre_miRNA from 1 species